GAUGAACGCUGGCGGCGUGCCUAAUACAUGCAAGUCGAGCGAACAGACGAGGAGCUUGCUCCUCUGACGUUAGCGGCGGACGGGUGAGUAACACGUGGAUACCCUACCUAUAAGACUGGGAUAACUUCGGGAAACCGGAGCUAAUACCGGAUAAUCUAUUGAACCGCAUGGUUCAAUAGUGAAAGACGGUUUUGCUGUCUCUUAUCGAUGGAUCCGCGCCGCAUUAGCUAGUUGGUAAGGUAACGGCUUACCAAGGCAACGAUGCGUAGCCGACCUGAGAGGGUGAUCGGCCACACUGGAACUGAGACGCGGUCCAGACUCCUACGGGAGGCAGCAGUAGGGAAUCUUCCGCAAUGGGCGAAAGCCUGACGGAGCAACGCCGCGUGAGUGAUGAAGGUCUUCGGAUCGUAAAACUCUGUUAUUAGGGAAGAACAAAUGUGUAAGUAACUAUGCCCGUCUUGACGGUACCUAAUCAGAAAGCCACGGCUAACUACGUG
rnacentral:rRNA from 1 species